rnacentral:rRNA from 1 species
AGUGAACGCUGGCGGUAGGCCUAACUCAUGCAAGUCGAACGGCAGCACAGUAAGAGCUUGCUCUUACGGGUGGCGAGUGGCGGACGGGUGAGGAAUACAUCGGAAUCUACUUUUUCGUGGGGGAUAACGUAGGGAAACUUACGCUAAUACCGCAUACGACCUACGGGUGAAAGCAGGGGAUCUUCGGACCUUGCGCGGUUGAAUGAGCCGAUGUCGGAUUAGCUAGUUGGCGGGGUAAAGGCCCACCAAGGCGACGAUCCGUAGCUGGUCUGAGAGGAUGAUCAGCCACACUGGAACUGAGACACGGUCCAGACUCCUACGAGAGGCAGCAGUGGGGAAUAUUAGGCAAUGGGCGCAAGCCUGAUCCAGCCAUACCGCGUGGGUGAAGAAGGCCUUCGGGUUGUAAAGCCCUUUUGUUGGGAAAGAAAAGCAGCAGGUUAAUACCCCGCUGUUCUGACGGUACCCAAAGAAUAAGCACCGGCUAACUUCGUG